GAGUUUGAUCAUGGCUCAGGACGAACGCUGGCGGCGUGCUUAACACAUGCAAGUCGUACGAGAAAGUUCCCUUCGGGGGAUGAGUACAGUGGCGCACGGGUGAGUAACGCGUAAGUAAUCUGCCCCUUGGUCUGGCAUAACUCCGGGAAACCGGGGCUAAUAGCAGAUGAUAUCGUAAGAUCAAAGCCUUCGGGCGCCAAGGGAUGAGCUUGCGUCCCAUUAGCUAGUUGGCGGGGUAACAGCCCACCAAGGCGACGAUGGGUAGCUGGUCUGAGAGGAUGAUCAGCCACAUUGGGACUGAGACACGGCCCAGACUCCUACGGGAGGCAGCAGUGAGGAAUAUUGCGCAAUGGACGAAAGUCUGACGCAGCAACGCCGCGUGCAGGAUGACGGCCCUCUGGGUUGUAAACUGCUGUAGCAGGGGAAUAAUACCGCCUCGGGCGGGUUGAAGGUACCCCUGAAGUAAGCUCCGGCUAACUACGUGCCAGCCGCCGCAGUAAC
rnacentral:rRNA from 1 species